UGGGGAAUAUUGGGCAAUGGGCGAAAGCCUGACCCAGCCACGCCGCGUGAGUGAUGAAGGCCUUCGGGUCGUAAAGCUCUGUGGGGAGGGACGAACAAAUCUGGGGCUAAUCACCCGGAUCCUGACGGUACCUCCUUAGCAAGCACCGGCUAACCCUGUGCCAGCAGCCGCGGUAAUACAGGGGGUGCAAACGUUGCUCGGAAUCAUUGGGCGUAAAGCGCACGUAGGCGGUCUGUUAUGUCGGAUGUGAAAGCCCUUGGCUUAACUGAGGAAGUGCAUCCGAAACUGGCAGGCUAGAGUACUAAAGAGGGUCGCGGAAUUCCCGGUGUAGAGGUGAAAUUCGUAGAUAUCGGGAGGAACACCGGUGGCGAAGGCGGCGACCUGGGUAGAUACUGACGCUGAGGUGCGAAAGCGUGGGGAGCAAACAGG
rnacentral:rRNA from 1 species